ACGAUGAAAACAACCAUUUGCAUAGUUCACGCUGAAACGAUCGUGUUGAUACUUAGCAUCUAAUGUCUUUCGCUCCUAUCUGAUUCUUCCU
rnacentral:snoRNA from 1 species